rnacentral:rRNA from 1 species
UACAGAGGUCUCGAGCGUUGUUCGGAUUCAUUGGGCGUAAAGGGCGCGUAGGCGGCGGGGUAAGUCUGGUGUGAAAUCUCGGAGCUCAACUCCGAAAUUGCACUGGAUACUGCUCUGCUAGAGGGCUGGAGAGGAGAUCGGAAUUCACGGUGUAGCAGUGAAAUGCGUAGAUAUCGUGAGGAAGACCAGUGGCGAAGGCGGAUCUCUGGGCAGUAACUGACGCUGAGGAGCGAAAGCGUGGGGAGCGAACAGG